CGAUAGAGGAGCGGUAACGAUAAGUAGCAUACGGUUAGGUCGCCCGGGACCGUCUGAGCUGUAUGCAAAAGGCAAUACCGCCGAAGAUAUGUACGUGGGAUGUACUGUUCUGAGUGUGUGCCGAACAGGUUCAUGCUUGUCAUCAUAUAGAUAUGAUGGAGUGCUAUCAGG
rnacentral:ncRNA from 1 species